CCUACGGGCGGCAGCAGUGGGGAAUAUUGGGCAAUGGGCGCAAGCCUGACCCAGCAAUGCCGCGUGAAGGAAGAAGGCUUUCGGGUUGUAAACUUCUUUGACAGGGGAAGAGCAGAAGACGGUACCCUGAAAACAAGCCACGGCUAACUACGUGCCAGCAGCCGCGGUAAUACGUAGGUGGCAAGCGUUGUCCGGAUUUACUGGGUGUAAAGGGCGUGUAGCCGGGAAGGCAAGUCAGAUGUGAAAUCUGGAGGCUCAACCUCCAAAUUGCAUUUGAAACUGUUUGUCUUGAGUACUGGAGAGGCGGACGGAAUUCCUUGUGUAGCGGUGAAAUGCGUAGAUAUAAGGAGGAACACCAGUGGCGAAGGCGGUCUGCUGGACAGCAACUGACGGUGAGGCGCGAAAGCGUGGGGAGCAAACAGGAUUAGAUACCCCAGUAGUC
rnacentral:rRNA from 1 species